rnacentral:rRNA from 1 species
AUGGCCCUCAAACAUCCCUUUUUUGCACAGAAAGUUGCUGAGGUGUUCUUGGACAACGUAUACAAAUUGCAUGGGAUGCCAGAAUACAUAGUAUCUGAUAGAGAUCAUGUAUUUACUAGCAACUUCUGGCAAGCCCUUGUUCACAGAAUUGGGACUCGGCUCAACAUGAGUACUGCAUAUCACCCUGCAACUGAUGGGCAGACUGAGAGAGUCAACCAGCAAAUUGAAUGCUAUCUCAGAAGUUUUAUCAGUUCUCAUCCUUCUAAAUGGAGCAAAUGGUUGUCCCUGUGUGAGUUUUGGUAUAAUACAAAUUGGCAUUCAGCUGUUGGCAAGUCUCCUUUUGAGGUAUUGUAUGGUCAUUCCCCUAGAUAUUUUGGGAUUGCUGCCAGUGAUACUGUUGCUCCUGUGGACAUUCUUCAGUGGUUGCAAGAUAGGGAAGUUUUGGUGGCUUAUGUUAAACAACACCUGCUCCGAGCUCAACAGAGAAUGGAGCAUUUGGCUGACAAAAAACAGAACUGA